UACGUAGGGGGCUAGCGUUGUCCGGAAUCAUUGGGCGUAAAGCGCGUGUAGGCGGUCCGGUAAGUCCGCUGUGAAAGUCGGGGGCUCAACCCUCGAAUGCCGGUGGAUACUGUCGGGCUAGAGUGCGGAAGAGGCGAGUGGAAUUCCUGGUGUAGCGGUGAAAUGCGCAGAUAUCAGGAGGAACACCAAUUGCGAAGGCAGCUCGCUGGGACGUUACUGACGCUGAGACGCGAAAGCGUGGGGAGC
rnacentral:rRNA from 1 species